GUUCAAGGUGGUUCCUUCUCCAAGGGGCACCUAAUGCCCCUCUCAGAAAACUAGCAACUUGGAAUAAAAUCUGGCAAGCCCAAGGUUUUCCGGAGAGAGGGGAUGAUUUUCUUUUUGCCUUCCUUUGGCUGCCUACAUAC
rnacentral:snoRNA from 1 species